ensembl:snRNA U6 U6 spliceosomal RNA
GUGCUUGCUUUGGCAGCACACAUACUAAAACUGGAACCAUACAGAGAAGAUUAGCAUGGGCCCUGUGCAAGGAUGACACACAAAUUCAUUAAGCAUUUCAUAUUUUU